UACGUAGGGUCGCAAGCGUUGUCCGGAAUAUUGGGCGUAAAGAGCGUGUAGGCGGCCACUUAAGUCCUGCGUGAAAUCUUGCGGCUCAACCGCAAGCGGUCGUGGGAAACUGGGUGGCUAGAGUGCCGGAGAGGAUAGCGGAACACCCGGUGUAGAGGUGAAAUUCGUAGAUAUCGGGUAGAACACCAGUGGCGAAGGCGGCUAUCUGGACGGACACUGACGCUGAGACGCGAAAGCGUGGGGAGCAAACAGG
rnacentral:rRNA from 1 species